rnacentral:rRNA from 1 species
UACGAAGGGGGCUAGCGUUGCUCGGAAUCACUGGGCGUAAAGGGUGCGUAGGCGGGUCUUUAAGUCAGGGGUGAAAUCCUGGAGCUCAACUCCAGAACUGCCUUUGAUACUGAGGAUCUUGAGUACGGGAGAGGUGAGUGGAACUGCGAGUGUAGAGGUGAAAUUCGUAGAUAUUCGCAAGAACACCAGUGGCGAAGGCGGCUCACUGGCUCGGUACUGACGCUGAGGUGCGAAAGCGUGGGGAGCGAACAGG